rnacentral:rRNA from 1 species
AACAAACGCUGGCGGCGUGCCUAAUAAAUGCAAGUCGAACGAGGAAAGCUUUCGGGUGAGUACUAGUGGCGCACGGGUGAGGAAUAUAUGGGUAAUCUGCCCUCGAGUUUGGGAUAACCAGUCGAAAGAUUGGCUAAUACCGGAUAAGACCACAGGAUCUGCGGAUCUAGGGGUUAAAGGUUUUUCGCUUGAGGAUGAGCCCAUAUGGGAUUAGCUAGUUGGUAGGGUAACGGCCUACCAAGGCUACGAUCCCUAACUGGUCUUAGAGGAUGAUCAGUCACACUGGAACUGAGACACGGUCCAGACUCCUACGGGAGGCAGCAGUAGGGAAUAUUGCACAAUGGGGGAAACCCUGAUGCAGCGACGCCGCGUGAGUGAUGAAGGCCUUCGGGUCGUAAAGCUCUGUCGUAUGGGACUAACAAAAUGAAGGUACCAUGCAAGAAAGGAUCGGCUAACUACGUACCAGCAGCCGCAGUAACAC